ACUGUUUACCAAAAACAUAGCCCUAGAGACUAAUCUAAGGUGAUGCCUGCCCAAUGGUCUAUAUAAUCUUCUUUUAAAUAAGAAGUGAAAAAAAUUCUCAAUGGCCGCAGUAUUCCUAACUGCAUCAAAGUAGCACAAUAAAUUGCCGCUUAAUUAGCGGAUUGUAUGAAUGGUAGCACGAGAGUUUCACUGUCUUAAGUGUAAAAAUUAAAAAAUUGAAAUAGUAGUUAAGAUGCUACUUAAAAUCGUUAGACGAUAAGACCCUAUAAAGCUUAACUAUAAUCUGCUACGAUUCUUUAACUACUGGCAGAUUGGUAGUUUACUUGGGGCAAGGACUUUUUAAAAAUAAAAAAAGUAAGCAAAAUAAUAAAACAUUUAUUGUAUAAAUAAUAAUUUUAACAGUUACAAUGUAGGCUAUAAUGACCCGUUUUAUCCGUAAAAAAGGGAAAACAAUUAUUAAAUAAAAGCUACUUUAGGGAUAACAGGAUAAUUUUAUUAAAGAGCUCAUAUCGCUAAUAAAGUUUGUCACCUCGAUGUUGAAUUAGGAUAUCCUAGCGGAGCAGAAACUGCUAAAGGUAGGUCUGUUCGACCUUUAAACAUCUUACAUGAUUUGAGUUCAUUCCG
rnacentral:rRNA from 1 species